UCCUACGGGAGGCAGCAGUCGGGAAUUUUGGGCAAUGGGCGAAAGCCUGACCCAGCAACGCCGCGUGAAGGAUGAAGUCUUUCGGGAUGUAAACUUCGUAAGAAUGGGAAGAAUCAAUGACGGUACCAUUUGUAAGGUCCGGCUAACUACGUGCCAGCAGCCGCGGUAAUACGUAGGGACCAAGCGUUGUUCGGAUUUACUGGGCGUAAAGGGCGCGUAGGCGGCGUGACAAGUCAGUUGUGAAAUCUCCGAGCUUAACUCGGAACGGUCAACUGAUACUGUUGUGCUAGAGUGCAGAAGGGGCAAUCGGAAUUCUUGGUGUAGCGGUGAAAUGCGUAGAUAUCAAGAGGAACACCUGAGGUGAAGACGGGUUGCUGGGCUGACACUGACGCUGAGGCGCGAAGGCUAGGGUAGCAAACGGGAUUAGAUACCCCGGUAGUCCUAGCCCUAAACGAUGAAUACUUGGUGUCUGGAAUAUUAUUUUUCCGGGUGCCGUCGCUAACGUUUUAAGUAUUCCGCCUGGGGAGUACGCACGCAAGUGUGAAACUCAAAGGAAUUGACGGA
rnacentral:rRNA from 1 species